CGGCAGUCAACUAACCUGAAAAACAGUUUCAGAGUGAAAUAGCUGCUUCUCCACAAAGAAUAUUAGUUGGGAAUCCAGAUCUUUGUUCUGGAAACACAAAGAACAUGCUUGCAGAAAGAUGACAAUACUUGCUUGAUUUUUAAGUAAUUAUUCAUUGUUUCAGUGGGCUCUUCCUCCAGGUAAUGAGACAGACAAGGAGAGGGGGCCUUUUUUUUUUAUUAAACUCUCCAGACAGGCAUACACACAGAUAAGAAGUAGUAAUUCUAGUCCAGUCUUUAAAAUCCUAAUUAAAAUGCCAAAAUGAUUUCUUCAUACUGUUUUUCUAAAUCAUAAUGCUAAAACAUUGCAUAUUUGGAAAAGGUAUUUCACCCACGGGGAACAGACUCUAGGUUAUCCCCAUUAAACCCAAGCAAAUUCUCUGACACCAUGCUAUCAGCAUGCAGCCAUGCCACAGACAGUCCAUUUCUUAGAAACAUCAACUCUGGGAAGGCAGUUGCUUAUCACAGCCCACCUUUACCCAUUUACUCACAUUUCAUCUCUGCUGUCAGUUAGGAAAAAGCCUCCAACAUAAAAAUUGGAUUUGCUUCGUCUUUUUGUUUAUUGUUUCCAGGUUACAGAAUUAGAACAAGAAAAGAAAAAAAGAUAAAAACUAAAUAUAAAGGAAGAAAACAGAUGUCCUGACAGUCUUUCUGUAUUCUUUCUUGGGGAAAGCUCCGCAGAGACUGAACUCCAUAUCUAAAGCUGUAAGCCGAUCUGGGACAAGAGCACCAAGAAUAGAUGAAUUCUCCAGAAAUUAUGACUACAAGCAUGCAUCUUCUCUAAGCCAUCAUACCUAUUUUGGCAAAACGGCACUUAGGCAGUUUCAUGACCAAAAAGGAUUCCUUUUCUCUGUACAAUUUUUUCUGUACAACUAAAACAGUCAAGAUGCUGGUUUCAGCUACCUGGUUUCCCAGCCCCUCUUUUUUUUUUUUUUUAAUUAUUUUUUAAAGUUAAUAACCCACAAACUACAACUUUAUCAAGUAAUUUCCUCACACAACAACAAACCCUGUAACUGCAGACUAAAUCAUAGAAAUCCCUCAAAAAAUCAACCAAAAAAAAAACAACUUACACGGCUCUCCAUACAUUUUUUUUAAAGUAAGUUUUCAAGUAUGAACCUGCAGUUUAAACCAAUGCUUGUCUUAGAAUAGCUACACUCCUACAGUCUUCACUAUUUGUUUUAUUGACAGCAUCCAAGUCAACCUCACAGGCUUCACUCAGUCCACAGGUAUAAUUUGAAGUCACAUUUUCAGAGAGCAUGGAAAUGGGAAGAAGGUAGGAAAAAAAAAAACAGAGCAACAGAGGGCAGAAUUGGGCAAGAACUAUGCAUUUUCCUAACCUGACAUCUUAGAAAUCUACAUUAACAAAAGUCAUUUAACAACUCUUCAAUUAAAGAAAAUCACUUUGAAUUUGUAUAACUUUUUUUAAAGCAACAGGUAGAAACAAACACCUGGCGCAUCCUCUCAUAAACUUGCUUUAAAGAUGAACUGGGAACACAAUUUUUAUAGGCAAAUAGAGUUCAAUCUAACCUAGUCGAGAAUAAUUCCUUAUUAAUUGGUAUUCAGAUGGUUCAUUAAAAUAUGCAUGUUCACCUAACCCAUAAGAAUUUCCCGGUUCCUUGGUAUUUCACAACUCUGUGAAUUGCAGACUGCAGCCUGGCACUGGUUCCUUGCUAUCAUAUGUCUGAGGAACAUUGCCUUCUUCAGUCUGCACCAAUCAUUUCUUCAUUACACCAAAACAAAAUAGGGUAUUAUUAGGCAUAUCAGCCUUCCUUCUUUUUUUCUUUAAAUUAAUCAGAAUUCAAAUGCUAAGUCUACACUAACUCUUGCUCUUCUAUCAGCUUCUCAAAAGCAACUGGCACUAAUUUGGCUAAGUUUUUCUUUAAAGUGCAGCCUGCAAGUAAAAGAAUAAAAAAAAAAAUCUAAAAGCUAGCAACAGAGCUUAAAGCAGAGUUUAGACAGUUUAUAAAAUUUUCUGGUCAAAGAUGUAACAGCAAUUGCUAGCUGUUGUGGAUUAGGAACAGCUUUUCCCUAUGGGCAGGUUAAAGAAGAGCUGCCUAUUAAUGGUACUUUCUUCUAAAGCAGCUGGUAGAUGUCAAAUCGCAUGCAGCACAAUGGACAGAUUAAGCCAAUUCACUUUAGUAAUCCAGACUUAGAUCUGAAAAAAGAAAGAGAGUUUGCAAGACUAACUUACAAGCUCUGUCCACACACUUGCCUAACAAAAGUGAUUCAUGCUGCCACGCUUCCUAACAACAGCUUGUAUUAAUAACAAUAAUCUAACAUUGAAAUCUACAAAGUGACAUCAUCAGUAUGAGGAAACGGGAGUUUUGCUGUUGUUUGCUGCCAUGAGAAGACAGAGGGAAGGUCAGCCAGCAUUAUUAACACCCAUACUUGAGGAAGUGUCCUCACUGCUGUUUCUGAAACCCACUGGAGAGUACAGUAACGUUAACCCAGGGAGUGCAAGUUAAGCGAGUCCCCUGCAGUGCACCCCUCUAAACAGACAAGUUUCCUAUACCCCAGCCUACCUGCCUUACAGAGGCUGCUGCUGCUCCCGAGCUGCCACUGCCAGAGCCCUGCUAGCAUCGCUCUUCCUUGCAGCGAUGGAGAUCCUCCUUUCUCCACCUGACUGAGAUUUUCACAGCACAAUCCUGCUCAUCAAACACACCAGAAGAUACUCAAGUACAGUUGCUUUAAUUCCUCACUUUUCUACUACCUGAAACUUGAUGCCAUGUGCCAUGUGUACUUUGAAGCACUCCACCCCCAAAAUAGCAAAAACCGCUAAAAAAAAGUCACGGUGCAUCCGCUGGCACUUUGUCAAUUUAUCUGGAUUUGUAAGAGACAAGUUUUUUGGCGCUCCAUCAGUUACCCUUUUAUAAAAUGCUUUUGCUGGAUCCACUUCACUUACUAGUCACCUCCGCUUCCUACAUGACUCAGGUUUCAAGCCAUGAAAGCAGUAAGAGCCUCGGAAGGAGAUAGAAACAAGUGGGAGAACUCAAAUCUUUUGUUAAGGAAGGAUGGAGAAAGGAUCUGAUUGCAGCAUCGGGAGCUGCACGGAACUCAGUGUUCAACAAGCAUUAAAAAAAAAAAGACCACUUUCCUGAAAGCAAACAGAGCUACUCAUUUAACUGUAGAGCAAAGCAAAUGUCAUGUCUAGGUCACACCGAUUACACUGAAGUUAGCACAAGGACGUGCAGACAUAUUUCUCCCAGCUGGAUUGGGAACUUCAAGUAUAAAGUUCUUUUGUUAUGUGAUACAAAGGUUAUACUGGACUCGUGGCAAAGCACCAAUUCCCAAAACAAUCAGUUCUUAAGAGCAAAAUUACUGUAACAUGCUUAUACAACUUGUCAGUGCAAAAAAAAAAAAGGAAGCACUGAUUGGCAGUUUUGCCAUUCUUGUACUAAAGAUCAAAAUCCAGGGCUAGCACUGGAACACACUCAGCGCUACAGGAGGCAGUACUCCCAGAGAAGUCUGGUUACUCAGACAAGUAUUGAGUAAUAACCUACAGUAAAUAUGAAUCACCGAGAUGCCCAUGAGGCCAUCUUCCCCAGAACAGGAACUGCUAAGCAGAGAUCAACAAUGAUGUUCUCUAUUCCUUUCUAGAAGGGAGUAAGCAACUGGAAACACAAGAAGACUAGUGCUGGUAACUGCUGCCAGCUAAAGGAAAGCCACCCUCCAAGAACAAAGGUCCAGUUGGCUCAGCUUCACUUCUCUGAAGUUCCCAGCUCUGUUAAUAUAAGUAAGAAGCUCUGAAGAGAUGACGACAGACAAAGGUACGUCUGGUUUGUAUAGCACGGGCUACAACCACAGCACUUUGACAACACUUCUGUUUGUACCUGAUCAAGGAAAAAAGCUAAAAACAAGAAAGCUACGGCAAAGCUCCUCUGCUCAGUCACACUACAACCAAAAGGCUUGUUUUUACAGCUCUCAGUACAUCUAGAGAGCAGGAAGGUGAUCAAAAGCUGCCUUUCUGCAUGCUGACUUUUUACAUGAGACAUUCUUGUUGGGAAACGAGGGGGAACAUUAGCUGCUUCAGUGCCUUCCUCAGUGCAGAGCAGGGAAUGGGUAUAGAAAGUCAGCCACAGGAGUGGUUCUUAUUGCACGUGCCAUUCUCCAGAUCACCUGAGUUUUCCCCAAACUCAAGUCCUAUACUCAGAUAUGUUGAGCAAACAAGAAUAAAACCUAGUUGGCUGUUAUAAAGCCAAGGCUGUUAUAAAAGGGGCAAGCCAGGGAAACAGGCAGCCAAAAGCUUUGAGAGCAGCAGGAACGGUGGGGUGGUACUUCUGGCUGUAAUACACACCACAGUGCAAAAACACACCUCACUGAAUCCUUCUUAGACUGUCUUUGAGGCUGGCACUCCAAACAGCCCAUUCCCUGUGGGUUCACACCCUCUGCCUCCAAAGACCCCCUUCAUACCAGCAGCAGCCCCCAGCUCUUUCAGACCAUGCUCCUCCCGAAGAGGCCACCCUGCACAACACAAGUACCAACUCGGGUUUCUGUGUGAACACAGCUUCCCACAAACCCUUGAAUGUAAUCAAAUUCUACAUCUGGCACCUCUCUGUUAAUAUUUUUCUGGCCUCCUGCAACUAAAUAAUUCCUUUUAUAAAUCACCUGGGGAGCAAAGGAGAGACGGGCAGAACAGGGCACCGUGCAGCCUCCUUCCCCAGGGACCUGCUGAGAUAGCGGAGAGGCAGCAUCUCCCACUUCUCAUUUUAAAACAGCAUUGUCAUGGCAACUUCAUGCAACAAGCUAACUGCUCCUCAAACAGAUCGGCAUUUCUCUGGAAGAUGCCUCUGACCCACCAAUUCCACAUUUCCAGCAGACUACAGCCCUUACUGGAAGAUGACGCAUACU